rnacentral:misc_RNA from 1 species
GACGAACCGUCCAAACGUUAUUCGGUAUCACUGGGCUUAAAGCGUGCGUAGGCGGCACGGCAGGUGAGGUGUGAAAUCCCACGGCUCAACCGUGGAAUUGCGCUUCAAACCGCCGUGCUGGAGGAAGGCAGGGGUAAGCGGAACUGAUGGUGGAGCGGUGAAAUGCGUUGAUAUCAUCAGGAACACCGGUGGCGAAAGCGGCUUACUGGGCCUUUUCUGACGCUGAGGCACGAAAGCUAGGGGAGCGAACGGG